ensembl:misc_RNA Metazoa_SRP Metazoan signal recognition particle RNA
GCCGGGCGUGGUGGCUCAUGCCUGUAAUCCCAGCACUCUGGGAGGCCGAGGCAGGUGGAUCACCUGAGGUCAGGAGUUCGAGGCCAACCUGGCCAACAUGGUGGGACCCUGUCUCUA